GUGACACCUUGGUGUUUGUUAUGUGGGAAAGUACUAAUUAAGUCUGAGGCAACAACACAGGUGGUGGGAUUCUUUUGCACUGUGAGUUGAGUUUUCUUGCAGAUAUACAUGCAAGCUUUCCAAAACAUUUGACCUGGUUGAGAUAUUUUGAACGGUUUUUGAUUGAGAAGAGCUAUCUAGUCAUCUGUCACUGUUUGACUGCUAAAGCGCGGCCUCUUUCACCCUAGGCUGUAUUGGCAGAAAGUAACCAGCUCAAGUGAAGGUACUUUACCCAAGUGAACAAUUUACCUCUGACCUUUCAC